CAGCAGCCGCGGUAAUACGUAGGGUGCGAGCGUUAAUCGGAAUUACUGGGCGUAAAGCGUGCGCAGGCGGUUUGUUAAGUCUGAUGUGAAAGCCCCGGGCUCAACCUGGGAACUGCAUUGGAAACUGGCAAGCUCGAGUAUGGCAGAGGGGGGUGGAAUUCCGCGUGUAGCAGUGAAAUGCGUAGAGAUGCGGAGGAACACCGAUGGCGAAGGCAGCCCCCUGGGCCAAUACUGACGCUCAGGCACGAAAGCGUGGGGAGCAAACAGGAUUAGAUACCCUGGUAGUCCACGCCCUAAACGAUGCUCACUAGGUGUUGGGGAAGCGAUUCCUUGGUACCGAAGCUAACGCGUGAAGUGAGCCGCCUGGGGAGUACGGCCGCAAGGUUAAAACUUAAAGGAAUUGACGG
rnacentral:rRNA from 1 species